UACAGAGGGGGCUAGCGUUGUUCGGAUUUACUGGGCGUAAAGCGCACGUAGGCGGUUUCCUAAGUCAGAUGUGAAAUCCCAAGGCUCAACCUUGGAAUUGCAUUUGAAACUGGGUUACUUGAGAACGAGAGAGGAUAGUGGAAUUCUUAGUGUAGGAGUGAAAUCCGUAGAUAUUAAGAGGAACACCAGUGGCGAAGGCGGCUAUCUGGCUCGUAUCUGACGCUGAGGUGCGAAAGCGUGGGGAGCAAACAGG
rnacentral:rRNA from 1 species